GAAUACUAAAGGGAACACAGAGAAAAAGCCAGUAAGUAAGAAGGCUCGCCUGGAACUUAAGUUAGCCUCCCUUUUCUCGUAGCUAUGUCACACGGUCGGUCAUGAUUCACAUCAUGUUAUAUAAGUGACCGAAAUCUGGACUGGGGUAGAAAUUGUUUAGGGUACGGAAUGAUAUGAGCGCUCAACGACCUGUUUUGGCACGUUUCAUUCCACUUGAGUUGAAAGGAGAGACGCUACCACCAGGUCCUGGACUCUCUUCUCUGAAACUCGAAUUUAGCAUCGCAAGUUCGCGUAGCUGCUGCCUUUUAAUGUAAUCAUGACUUUCAUCCACCGGUUUGAGCAGUUCUUCAAUAAUUUCUUGUGCCUGUCUGAGACGUAUAUCAACAAUAUUGGCUGGUAAGUCUGCCUCAAUCAAGAUGUGCAGUGGUUCGUUCAAGUGCUCAUAGCCAGGUCGUCCCCGUAAUUUCUCUUCCUUGUCCGGAUCCUUUAUCGACCCUUUCCCUCGAAUGUAUACACGACAACCUGUAGUAACUUCCACCCGUUUCAAGGAAUUGCCACGAGGUCCCAAAAGCCUCCCUACGAAAUUGAAAUUGGGGUAUGUAUCCACGGGUAUUUCCAAACGUAGAAUCCUCUUUACGGUGAGUGAACUAGGACUUGCAGGUGCACUUUGCCAGUCCAUUGUCA
rnacentral:misc_RNA from 1 species